GACGUAGGGAGCGAGCGUUGUCCGGAAUUACUGGGCGUAAAGAGCUCGUAGGCGGGACCGUAAGUCCGAGAGGAAAUCUCAAGGCUCAACUUUGGGGCUUUCUUGGAUACUGCGGUUCUUGAGGAUGAGAGAGGUAAGCAGAAUUCCCGGUGUAGCGGUGAAAUGCGUAGAUAUCGGGAGGAAUACCAGUGGCGAAGGCGGCUUACUGGCUCAUUCCUGACGCUGAGGAGUGAAAGCGUGGGGAGCAAACUGG
rnacentral:rRNA from 1 species